UGGGCGCUAUCUCCAACUGUCUUUGCACUUCUGAGUAAGAAUCUGAUGAUUGUGCACAGUGACCUGGCUGUUCACUUCCCUGCCAUUCAGUAUGCUGUGCUCUACACAUUGUAUUCUCAUUGUACCAGGCAUGAUCACUUUAUCUCUAGUAGCCUCAGUUCUUCCUCUCCUUCUUUGUUUGAUGGAGCUGUGAUUAGCACUGUAACUACGGCCACAAAGAAACAUUUCUCAAUUAUAUUAAAUCUUCUGUGAAUAUUACUUAAGAAAGAUAACCUUAACCAGGACACGAGGAAACUGUUAAUGACUUGGGCUUUGGAAGUAGCUGUUUUAAUGAAGAAGUCCGAAACAUAUGCACCUUUAUUCUGUCUUCCGUCUUUCCAUAAAUUUUGCAAAGGCCUUUUAGCCAA
rnacentral:lncRNA from 1 species